rnacentral:rRNA from 1 species
UACGUAGGGUGCAAGCGUUGUCCGGAAUUAUUGGGCGUAAAGAGCUCGUAGGCGGUCUGUCGCGUCGGCUGUGAAAACCCGAGGCUCAACCUCGGGCCUGCAGUCGAUACGGGCAAACUAGAGUACAGAAGGGGCAACUGGAAUUCUCGGUGUAGCGGUGAAAUGCGCAGAUAUCAGGAGGAACACCGGUGGCGAAGGCGGGUCUCUGGGCAGUAACUGACGCUGAGGAGCGAAAGCGUGGGGGAGCGAACAGG